UUAAAUUAAUUCAGUUGAUGUCUUUUUAGAUGAAAGAAGAAUACAGUAAAAUAAAAGGAUUCGACAGUCUUAGCAUAACAGGAUUCAGGUACUUCCUUUGUACAUUAAUAAACAGAAAAUCUACAGGCAUUUAUUUUGUAAAUGUUUAAGAGAAAUCUCUUUUUUGUUUUGUUUUUCAGUGUUGGAAGCGUUGUGGCCAGCUUUGCAAUGAAGGUCGUUUCUGCCAGCAUUUCGAAAGAACUGAUUAACAAAUCCAUAAGCCUGGGUAACAGACUGAACGGUUCGCUAGUUUUGGAGACGACAGGUAUUGUCAAUUUGGAAGUACCAGAUUACGAAGUGCCGUAUGAAAACAAUGCUGUUGUGAAGUGUACAACCACGGAAGACCUUAACGCUGAUCCAAAGUGGAAUCUGAAAAGAGAUAAAGAAGUUUUUAUCAUAACUAAUGGCAGAAUCUCAACGGUGACCAACAUAGACCACAGAGAAAGCAACAUCAACCUGACUGCCGUUGAUGAACUCUGGGAAGGAGAGUACAUAUGUCUCUUCGAACAAAAACAAGGCGAUAUAACCAUUAAUCACAAAGCCAACGCUUCGAUGGAUAUAUGCCUCAAACCAAAGAUUGACAUUUCUGCAGACCCAGCAUUCCCCCUGUGUGUAAAAGAAACAGAUGUUUUUCUUGUAAAACUGAGUUGUCAGAUAAAGAAAAGCAGUGAAAAUUACGCAGUGAGCU